AGAGUUUGAUCAUGGCUCAGGAUGAACGCUAGCUACAGGCUUAACACAUGCAAGUCGAGGGGAAACGACAUCGAAAGCUUGCUUUUGAUGGGCGUCGACCGGCGCACGGGUGAGUAACGCGUAUCCAACCUGCCCACCACUUGGGGAUAACCUUGCGAAAGUAAGACUAAUACCCAAUGACGUCUCUAGAAGACAUCUGAAAGAGAUUAAAGAUUUAUCGGUGAUGGAUGGGGAUGCGUCUGAUUAGCUUGUUGGCGGGUAACGGCCACAAGGCGACGAUCAGUAGGGUUCUGAGAGGAAGUCCCCANAUUGGAACUGAGACACGGUCCAAACGUCCUACGGGAGCA
rnacentral:rRNA from 1 species